GAUUUUUGUCACGAUACCAAAGAAAUUGCGUGAGUUUCAUGUGAUUAUUUAGCAGUUAUGGCCAUUAAAACUAACAGAGUGGUAAAGAUGGAGAUAAAAAAAUAAUAUCAAAAAUAGAUUGGAGACCUAAUUUAUAUGCUGAGGAGCUGAUGCAGCGGGGGGCCUCCUCCUAAAUCAUGCCUGGUGUUAUUGUCAUCAUGCAUUUGUCCUCCACUUCUUCUUCCCUUCCUCUUCGUCCCUGUGUUUUAAGCCUCUGAUCUAGCCACCUCCCGGGCCCUUGAGGGUUAUACUAUUCAGCCAUGGCUACCAUGGAAGGUUACCACUGGACCACUAGCUAGUGCUUGUCUACAAUCCUGAAGCCUUUUCUUGAGGUCUUGUUAGCCCACUCCUUCACUUUCGAACAAGUUAUUUCGCUCCUUACUGCUAUAUAAUUCGUCUCGAACAACAAUGGACCAAAAUCCUCUCAUUCUACUUCGAACCUUGC
rnacentral:lncRNA from 1 species